UCUUUCGGGGCGGGGUGAGAUUCCCCACCGGCGGUAAUGGGGCAUAAGCCCUUAGCCCGCGAACCGCAGUUUAAGCGGCCGAUCCGGUGUGAUCCCGGAGCCGACGGUAUUAAGCGCAGGCUUUAAGUCCGGAUGAGAGAAGGA
rnacentral:ncRNA from 1 species